rnacentral:rRNA from 1 species
UUGACGGGACCGCACAAGCGUGAUGAUGUGAUUAAUUCGAUGCAACGCGAAAACCUUACUACCCUUGACAUGUCUGGAACCUUGGUGAGAGCCGAGGGUGCCUUCGGGAGCCAGAACACAGGUGCUGCAUGGCUGUCGUCAGCUCGUGUCGUGAGAUGUUGGGUUAAGUCCCGCAACGAGCGCAACCCUUGUCAUUAAUUGCCAUCAUUCAGUUGGGCACUUUAAUGAGACUGCCGGUGACAAACCGGAGGAAGGUGGGGAUGACGUCAAGUCCUCAUGGCCCUUAUGGGUAGGGCUUCACACGUAAUACAAUGGUCGGUACAGAGGGUUGCCAACCCGCGAGGGGGAGCCAAUCCCAGAAAACCGAUCGUAGUCCGGAUUGCAGUCUGCAACUCAACUGCAUGAAGUCGGAAUCGCUAGUAAUCGCGGAUCAGCAUGUCGCGGUGAAUACGUUCCCGGGCCUU